rnacentral:tRNA from 1 species
AAGGGUAUAGCUCAGAGGUAGAGUGUGUGCUUAGCAUGCACGAGGUCCUGGAUUCAAUCCCCAGUACCAAUG